rnacentral:rRNA from 15 species
CGACCUGCACGAAUGGCGUAACGAUGGCCACACUGUCUCCUCCUGAGACUCAGCGAAGUUGAAAUGUUUGUGAUGAUGCAAUCUCCCCGCGGAAAGACGGAAAGACCCCAUGAACCUUUACUGUAGCUUUGUAUUGGACUUUGAACAGAUCUGUGUAGGAUAGGUGGGAGGCUUUGAAGCAGGGUCGCUAGAUCUUGUGGAGCCAACGUUGAAAUACCACCCUGGUGUGUUUGAGGUUCUAACCUAGGUCCAUUAUCUGGAUCGGGGACAGUGCAUGGUAGGCAGUUUGACUGGGGCGGUCUCCUCCCAAAG